ACGCACGAAAAUUUGUAUACAGUUGUCAUGACAGUACAGAUUACGUAAUGCCCAAAUUAAAUGCAAAUAAAGAGCUUACUGCGAUUAUAAAAUCGCUCCUUUUAAGAACAAUCAUAUAAAUAAUGAUUCGAAUAUAGUAGAAAUAACCAUCAAUCAUAUUCAAAUUAUAGAAUACGAGAGAUAUUAGCGUUUUAAACAAGCAAAAUUCUCAGAGGAUCUGAAAAACGUAAACAAAUUCGUCCCAAAAACGCACACCUCCGCGCGCGUGUAUUACCGCAGCACGUUCGGAAAAAACCACAGAAGAGAAAACAGCUCACGAAACAGAGGAAACAGAACGUGAUAUUUGACCAUCUGCAGACUCUUUACCUUUCUUUAUUUAAAAUUGAGGAUAAUGAUUGGGGUGUGUCGACUGUUGGGAACCAUAGAAAAGCGAAUGAUGGCGUAGACCAAGCAGUGGAGAUAUGAUACAAUGUCGCCAUCCAUCCUCGCUAUGACUAUGAGUGGCAGCACCAGAUGUCCCUAUUGCUACAACCUGCACAAGUACUAGGCAUAAACUUGCCCAAUGAUGGCUGGCAUUGUACAAAAAAGGAGCUUUACAAUUGCAUGGAAAAUGGAGUACAACUUCAAACCUGGAGUUGCUCCAUUCAAUACUAAUAACUUGAGACUGAACUAUUUAUUUACCAUAGAAAACUAAAGAAUCAGAAUCUUUCAGAGAAAGCUUGCCAACUCGGCCAGUUGACCAAGAUGGCUAGCAAAUCUGAGUGGAAGGAAAACCAGUUAAUGGUUGCCCUUCGGAUCCGGCCAUUGACUCCCAUGGAACUUGAAAGAGGCUCUGAAGUUGUGGCUCAUGUAGUGGAAGAUAGCGUAAGUAAUAUUCAACCAUGGAGAUUUUACCCAUAUGGUGCAUUAUGUGAUUCUAAAUCCCUGCAAAUAAAAGUCUUAUUGUAAUUUUGUACCAUUAUUUCCUUGGGGGGGGGGUGUUACAUUGCACUUUUGAAUCAAACAAAAAGGCUACUUCACCUUGAAAUUAAACAAGUAAAAGCAAUUUUAAAAGUCAGGGUCAAAAUUACAGAAUGUUGUGGUUCCCAUUGUUUCCAAGAACAGGGAACAAUGUUGUGUGUGUGUGAGUGGGGAUUAUGAUGUCAUAAACCUACUUUUUUUCAUUUUGAUUUUAGAAUUAGAUUGCAAAUUCUCAAUAUAUUUCAAUUUCUGUUUGAAGAAUGUAUGUAAAAUAUGAUUUUGUUUCUUAUUGAUUUUGUAAAAUCAUUCUUCCUCAAUUAUUGUGAUACAAGGCAUUGGUCUAGAAGUGAAAUGAUUUGAAUUCACUUUAUAACAUACAGUAUCUUCUUAUCAUGUUACACAUUUGAAUCAUACAUGAAAUAAUGCCAUAAAUGUAAAAUUCCAUUGAUUUGCAUUUGAAUGUGAUGAAAUUUUUAAUCUAUAAUGUAUUAGUUGUACAGUAUAACAUAAAUCCUAAAUGCCAUCUUAAAUGCCAAUUUUAACUACGAAUGGAUAGUUUAAAAAGAAGAACAGAAUAUUUAUAGAUAUGUUGUUUUUUUUAGAUGGAAAGAUAAGAUUAUGCUUUGUAUGAUCAUGGAGUAGGUCCAUGGUAUGAUGUACAGUGUAGAUUUGUAUCGUGUGAUACAGAUAUUUAGUUGUAAAUGUACUGUAAAGGCAAACAUGAUAAUUCAUAUCUUAGCCGUGAAGGCUAAUAAACAGCGUUGGAAAUACAUGAAGAUGACAGGCGAUUUUGUCCUCAUGACUGCUGAAAUUGCCCCCCCCCCCCCAAAAAAAAAAGUCGCCCCAAAAUCUUUCGCAAACAAUAUUCAAACUUUAGAUAAUCUUAGAAAAUCAACAUUUUAACUAUGGCAGUAUAAUGUUAUUCGUUUUUACUGCAUUCAUUUAAUUUCUUGUUGCACUUAAGUAGCCCUCAACAUAAAGAAAUAGCCCCCAAAAUUCUGCAAUCGCCCUAAUUUGGAAAAAGGGUAGCCCCUAAAAAAUAAAAAUAAUUUUCUACCCUGGUAAUAAAGCCCAUUAAUUUGAUUUCAAAGGGAGGGGAAGUUGUAUGCUGGAGUAAACUGACAUGUAUUUGGGUUUGAUUUAUAUGAUUUGAUUUUUUUUUAUACAUUAUUUGAAGUAUUAACAUCUGUUACAGAUGACCCACAAUUAUUUUGGAUUCAAAAUUCAAAGAUCAAUGCACAUACAUGUUGGUUAAUCUUAGCUACAUUAUGUUAAAGUACAUGUGAACAGUAAACACAAUAUUCAAUCUUUAUGCAUUUUUUGUGGUUUAAUGUAUAGAAUCAAGAAUGGUUACGUGGUGUGUUUAGUAAUGAAGCCACACAAAAUUCCUGUGCAAAAUGGUGCAUUUUAAUAGUUAGACACAUGUACAUGUUUGUCUGUGAAAGCAUGUCGCUGAAAACUCUUCCGGGGAUAUGAC